UGCUGGCAGCUGUGCUUUUGCCAAACC
rnacentral:piRNA from 1 species